rnacentral:rRNA from 1 species
UAAGCGAUGGGGUGACGCAGGAAGGUAGUCCAGCCCAGGCGAUGGUUGUCCUGGGGUAAGCAUGUAGGGCGUGUCGUAGGUAAAUCCGCGGCAUCUAAGCCUGAGAUGUGAUGCCGAGCCGAUUGUGGUGAAGUGGAUGAUCCUAUGCUGCCGAGAAAAGCCUCUAGUGAGUGUUGUGGCGGCCCGUACCCUAAACCGACUCAGGUGGUCAGGUAGGGAAUACCAAGGCGAUCGGGUGAACUGUGGUUAAGGAACUCGGCAAAUUGCCCCCGUAACUUCGGGAGAAGGGGGACCUCUGUUGGUGAUGGGCUUUACGCCUGGAGCUGGUGGGGGUCGCAGUGGCCAGGGGGAAGCGACUGUUUACUAAAAACACAGGUCCGUGCGAAGUCGUAAGACGAUGUAUACGGACUGACGCCUGCCCGGUGCCGGAACGUUAAGGGGACCGCUUAGCUGACGUGAGUUGGCGAAGGUGAGAACUUAAGCGCCGGUAAACGGCGGUGGUAACUAUAACCAUCCUAAGGUAGCGAAAUUCCUUGUCGGGUAAGUUCCGACCUGCACGAAUGGCGUAACGACUUCCCCGCUGUCUCAACCGCAGACCCGGCGAAAUUGCACUACGAGUAAAGAUGCUCGUUUCGCGCAGCAGGACGGAAAGACCCCGGGACCUUCACUACAGCUUGACAUUGGCGUUUGGAACGUCUUGUGUAGGAUAGGUGGGAGACUGGGAAGCUGUCACGCUAGUGAUGGUGGAGUCAUUGGUGAAAUACCACUCUGGUCGUUUUGAACGUCUAACUCUGGUCCGUGAUCCGGAUCGGGGACAGUGUCUGGUGGGUAGUUUAACUGGGGCGGUUGCCUCCUAAAGAGUAACGGAGGCGCCCAAAGGUUCCCUCAGCCUGGUUGGCAAUCAGGUGUUGAGUGUAGGUGCACAAGGGAGCUUGACUGUGAGACUGACAGGUCGAGCAGGAGCGAAAGCUGGGACUAGUGAUCCGGCAUCGGCGUGUGGAAGCGGUGUCGCUCAACGGCUAAAAGGUACCCCGGGGAUAACAGGCUGAUCUUCCCCAAGAGUCCAUAUCGACGGGAUGGUUUGGCACCUCGAUGUCGGCUCGUCGCAUCCUGGGGCUGGAGUAAGUCCCAAGGGUUGGGCUGUUCGCCCAUUAAAGCGGUACGCGAGCUGGGUUUAGAACGUCGCGAGACAGUUCGGUCCCUAUCCGCUGCGCGCGCAGGAGACUUGAAGGGGGCUGUCCCUAGUACGAGAGGACCGGGACGGACGAACCUCUGGUGUGCCAGUUGUACCGCCAGGUGCACGGCUGGUUGGCUACGUUCGGAAGGGAUAACCGCUGAAAGCAUCUAAGCGGGGAGCUCGCCUUGAGAUGAGGUCUCCCACCACGAGAGUGGGUAAGGCUCCCGGUAGACGACCGGGUUGAUAGGCCGUAGGUGGAAGCACGGUAACGUGUGGAGCUGACCGGUACUAAUAGGCCGAGGACUUGACCAU